AUAUCGGACUUUUUAAAGUCCAUCAAAACAACUAUGCGUGCGACUU
rfam:Glossina fuscipes fuscipes unplaced genomic scaffold Scaffold964, whole genome shotgun sequence.